rnacentral:ncRNA from 1 species
CGUUUUGGUUCGCUUUGCAGCGAUUGAUAGGGAAUCCGGUGAGAAUCCGGAACAGACCCGCUACUGUGAUUUCUGUAAACUUGCCGGCAUAUCGGCCACUGUCAUUUAUUUGAUGGGAAGGCGCCGGCGGGAUGGAAUAAGUCAGGAGACCUGCCCGAACG